GUACUUUAAGCUUUACCCGUAGUUGGAACUUGCAACAGUUUAGGUUUUUUGGUGCUCUGAUCUGUCUUGCUCUCUGGAAGGCUACGUAAAUAUAAAAAUCUUCAGCAGAAAGACAACUCUCUCUAAAGUACUGGCAACUGGUCUUUGCAGAAAAUUGCUCCGGCUGUUUGGAUCUUGAUGUGUUUAUUUCCUUCUAAUCUUUUGGUGCAGCUUUCGUCUGACCGGAAACCAUGGCAGCCGCAUCCGAUGGCAGACCAACAUACACACCGCCAUAGUUCCUCCUUUUGUCAUCAUCUGAUACAGAUUCUUCCGCUGCAUCUUUAGUAGUCCCUGUGGCACCUCUCCCGCCCGCGCCGCCGGCCGUGGAGUUACCGCAGCCCAUGGGCGCCGCCCGGGCCGCCCCGCGGUGCGGAGCCGCGCGGAGGGGAGCGGCGGCGGGAGGCAGCCGGCGGCGGGC
rnacentral:lncRNA from 1 species